UGCUAGCUCGAACGAGCAUCUUCGGGUCUAGUGGCGCUCGGGUGCGUAAAGCGUGGAAAUCUGCCCUUGGGUUCGGAAUAACUUCGGGAAACUGAUUCUCAUACCGGAUGAUGACCAAAGUCCAAAGAUUUAUCGGGGGGGGGAUGAGCCCGCGUAGGAUUACCUAGUUGGUGAGGUAAAGGCUCACCCCCCCUACCAUCCUUAGCUGGUCUGAGAGGAUGAUCAGCCACACUGGGACUGAGACACAGCCCAAACUCCUACGGGAGG
rnacentral:rRNA from 1 species